rnacentral:rRNA from 1 species
GACGAACGCUGGCGGCGUGCUUAACACAUGCAAGUCGAACGGUGAAGGUGGAGCUUGCUCCGCCGGAUCAGUGGCGAACGGGUGAGUAACACGUGGGCAACCUGCCCCAGACUUCGGGAUAACUCCUCGAAAGAGGCGCUAAUACCGAAUACGAACUUUGUAGGCAUCUACGAGGUUGGAAAGUUUUUCGGUCUGGGAUGGGCCCGCGGCCUAUCAGCUAGUUGGUGAGGUAUCGGCUCACCAAGGCGACGACGGGUAGCCGGCCUGAGAGGGCGACCGGCCACACUGGGACUGAGACACGGCCCAG